rnacentral:misc_RNA from 1 species
UUUUAUAAUUGAUGUUAAUGGUGCAAUGAUAGUUUAUUAAAUAAAUGCCAGUAUUACAUGCAUAUAGAUUCUUUUGCAAGUAGGGUCCAUAGUGGACAUCAUAAUAAAAAUCAUCUUAAAUACUAAGCUGAUGGAUUGGAUUUAAUUAGAAACAUCGACUGUGUUCUACUGGGGUCCCCUGAGUAUCACUACGUUGGUGCAGUUCGUUUAAUAGGACUUAAAAUACUUCUGAAACUUUGCUGUGAUAAAAGUGGUGACUAUUUUGAAUUUUUGGAAGAACUUAUGUCAAAACUAUAUGUGAAUUAAUAUAUGAUUAGACAGACGAUCGUCUUUCAGUCAGAUGUUUCGCAGAACUUUGCUAUGUGCACUACUUCUAUGUGCGAUUGUGACUCAAACAGAAGCCAACACAUGCACCACUGCUGACCUGGCAGCCGGAUGCACCGUGGUAGGAUAUGACCAGGCUGCCGCUACUGCGGCGUGUGGUACUAGUAAUAGUGCAGUUGAUGACACAAGCAAUUGUGGACAGUACUAUGCGUGUUCCACUAUUAUUGCUGAUACUCUGCAAACGUGCCCUUCUGGUUAUAAAGUUGAUCUUGUAUCAGGAGGAGACAAGUGUGUCGUUGAUGCGACGUGCAAUGCAGAUGGCCCACCGGGUACAGGCGGACCACCGGGAUUAAAGGGUCCACAGGGGACGCUUAAUUAUGGAACAUUCGGCCCUCCCGGAACAGGUGGACCACCUGCAACAGGAGGGCCACCUGCAACAGGAGGUCCACCCGGAACUGGCGGUCCACCAGGAACAGUUGGUCCACCAGGAACAGAAGGUCCACCAGGAACAUCGGGUCCUCCUGGUACAGGUGGUCCCCCAGGAACAGGAGGACCACCAGGAACAGGAGGUCCCCCCGCAACAGGAGGACCCCCUGGAACUGGGGGUCCACCCGGAACAGGGGGGGGUCCACCAGGAACUGUCGGUCCACCUGGAACUGUAGGUCCUCCUGGAACAGGAGGACCACCUGGAACUGGGGGACCGCCUGCAACAGGAGGUCCACCCGGAACUGGUGGACCACCUGGAACAAGUGGUCCACCAGGAACAAUUGGACCACCGGGAACAGUUGGACCACCAGGAACAGGUGGACCUCCAGGUACCGGUGGUCCACCUGGACUUACAGCAACAGGAGGUCCACCAGGAACAGGGGGUCCACCAGGAACAGUCGGUCCACCAGGCACAAGUGGUCCACCAGGAACGGUUGGUCCCCCAGGAACAAAUGGUCCGCCCGGAUCAGGAGGUCCUCCUGGUACCGAAGGCCCACCUGGUAC